rnacentral:rRNA from 1 species
UGGGGAAUUUUGGACAAUGGGGGAAACCCUGAUCCAGCCAUCCCGCGUGUGCGAUGAAGGCCUUCGGGUUGUAAAGCACUUUUGGCAGGAAAGAAACGUCAUGGGUUAAUACCCCGUGAAACUGACGGUACCUGCAGAAUAAGCACCGGCUAACUACGUGCCAGCAGCCGCGGUAAUACGUAGGGUGCAAGCGUUAAUCGGAAUUACUGGGCGUAAAGCGUGCGCAGGCGGUUCGGAAAGAAAGAUGUGAAAUCCCAGAGCUCAACUUUGGAACUGCAUUUUUAACUACCGGGCUAGAGUGUGUCAGAGGGAGGUGGUAUUCCGCGUGUAGCAGUGAAAUGCGUAGAUAUGCGGAGGAACACCGAUGGCGAAGGCAGCCUCCUGGGAUAACACUGACGCUCAUGCACGAAAGCGUGGGGAGCAAACGGG